AGUGAACGCUGGCGGUAGGCCUAACACAUGCAAGUCGAACGGCAGCACAGUAAGAGCUUGCUCUUACGGGUGGCGAGUGGCGGACGGGUGAGGAAUACAUCGGAAUCUACUUUUUCGUGGGGGAUAACGUAGGGAAACUUACGCUAAUACCGCAUACGACCUACGGGUGAAAGCAGGGGAUCUUCGGACCUUGCGCGAUUGAAUGAGCCGAUGUCGGAUUAGCUAGUUGGCGGGGUAAAGGCCCACCAAGGCGACGAUCCGUAGCUGGUCUGAGAGGAUGAUCAGCCACACUGGAAAGGAGAGACGGUCCAGACUCCUACGGGAGGCAGCAGUGGGGAAUAUUGAACAAUGGGCGCAAGACGGAUCCAGCCAUACCGCGUGGGUGAAGAAGGCCUUCGGGUUGUACAUCCCUUUUGUUGGGAAAGAAAAGCAGCAGGUGAAUACCCCGCUGCUCUGAGGGGACCUAAAGAAUAAGCAACGGCUAACUUCGGG
rnacentral:rRNA from 1 species